rnacentral:rRNA from 1 species
AUCGCAUGAUACAGUGUAGAAAAACUCCGGUGGUAUAAGAUGGACUCGCGUCCAAUUAGCUAGUUGGUGAGGUAACGGCCCACCAAGGCGACGAUUGGUAGCCGGACUGAGAGGUUGAACGGCCACAUUGGGACUGAGACACGGCCCAGACUCCUACGGGAGGCAGCAGUGGGGGAUAUUGCACAAUGGGGGAAACCCUGAUGCAGCGACGCCGCGUGGAGGAAGAAGGUUUUCGGAUUGUAAACUCCUGUCGUUAGGGACGAUAAUGACGGUACCUAACAAGAAAGCACCGGCUAACUACGUG